ensembl:rRNA 5S_rRNA 5S ribosomal RNA
GUCUACGACCAUGCUCCCCUGAAUGUGACCAAUCUUAUCUGAUCUUGGAAGCUAAGCAGGGUCAGACCCAGUUAGUACUUGGAUGGGAAACCACCUAGGAAGACCAAGUGCUGUAGGUG